rnacentral:rRNA from 1 species
AUUGAACGCUGGCGGCAUGCCUUACACAUGCAAGUCGAACGGUAACAGGUCUUCGGACGCUGACGAGUGGCGAACGGGUGAGUAAUACAUCGGAACGUGCCCAGUCGUGGGGGAUAACUACUCGAAAGAGUAGCUAAUACCGCAUACGAUCUGAGGAUGAAAGCGGGGGACCUUCGGGCCUCGCGCGAUUGGAGCGGCCGAUGGCAGAUUAGGUAGUUGGUGGGAUAAAAGCUUACCAAGCCGACGAUCUGUAGCUGGUCUGAGAGGACGACCAGCCGCACUGGGACUGAGACACGGCCCAGACUCCUACGGGAGGCAGCAGUGGGGAAUUUUGGACAAUGGGCGAAAGCCUGAUCCAGCAAUGCCGCGUGCAGGAUGAAGGCCUUCGGGUUGUAAACUGCUUUUGUACGGAACGAAAAAGUCUCCUCUAAUACAGGAGGCCCAUGACGGUACCGUAAGAAUAAGCACCGGCUAACUACGUGCCAGCAGCAGCCGCGGUAA